rnacentral:rRNA from 1 species
GACGAACGCUGGCGGCGUGCUUAACACAUGCAAGUCGAACGGAAAGGCCCCUUCGGGGGUACUCGAGUGGCGCACGGGUGAGUAACACGUGAGUAACCUGCCCUUGACUUCGGGAUAACUUCAGGAAACUGGGGCUAAUACCGGAUAGGAAUCCUUGCUGCAUGGUGGGGGUUGGAAAGCUUCGGCGGUUUUGGAUGGACUCGCGGCUUAUCAGCUUGUUGGUGGGGUAGUGGCUUACCAAGGCUUUGACGGGUAGCCGGCCUGAGCGGGCGACCGGCCACAUUGGGACUGAGAUCCCGCCCAGACUCCUACGGGAGGCAGCAGUGGGGAAUAUUGCACAAUGGGCGGAAGCCUGAUGCAGCAACGCCGCGUGCGGGAUGACGGCCUUCGGGUUGUAAACCGCGUUCAGCAGGGGCGAAGCUUGUGGUGACGGUACCUGCAGAAGAAGCACCGGCUAACUACGUG